AGCGCAGGCGGUCUUUUUAAGUCUGAUGUGAAAGCCUUCGGCUUAACCGGAGAAGUGCAUCGGAAACUGGGAGACUUGAGUGCAGAAGAGGACAGUGGAACUCCAUGUGUAGCGGUGAAAUGCGUAGAUAUAUGGAAGAACACCAGUGGCGAAGGCGGCUUACUGGACUGUAACUGACGUUGAGGCUCGAAAGUGUGGUAGCAAACA
rnacentral:rRNA from 1 species